ensembl:lncRNA
CCUGACUACGACGACCUCAUCCGACCGGGACGAUUCCUCACACCGCACGCGCAUUUUUUAAUUGCCAGGGGAUAUUUUCAACACCGCGGCUGCUGUGGUCAAGGAAAACAAUGCACAUCUAGUUUUCCCCAACAUUACUCAGCUGCUGAAGACAUAUGGCACACCUCCGGUGUCCACACCAACUGUGGAACGUUCCUUCUCAAAACUGAAGCUGGUGAAAACCAAACUUCGCAGCCUUUGGAAAGAGGAGAGAUUGUCUGACCUUCUUCUGUUGGCCAUUGAGAAGGACAUUCCAAUAAAUGACAAUGAUGUCAUUAACAUUUUUAGGGACAUGUCCAACAGGAGACCUCUGUUAUAAGUGCCUACAACCACUCAUCCUCCACUUAUAGUAGAGAAAUUUCCGUAUGGACAGGAGGAGAAGCUCGCAGGCAAUCUUUUACUGUCUAUGAGGCAAUCGGGGGGACGUGGAGGCAUGAAGUCAAGGGAGAAGCCCACAGAGAGUCCAUAAAGGCAACGGGACAAAAUUAUUCAACAACGUCUGCAAG